rnacentral:rRNA from 1 species
UACGGAGGGUGCGAGCGUUAAUCGGAAUUACUGGGCGUAAAGGGUGCGUAGGUUGUAGAAUAAGUUGUCUGUGAAAUUCCUGGGCUUAACCUAGGCAUGUCAGAUGAUACUGUUUUACUAGAGUAUAGGAGAGGGUAGUGGAAUUUCCGGUGUAGCGGUGAAAUGCGUAGAGAUCGGAAGGAACACCAGUGGCGAAGGCGGCUACCUGGCCUAAUACUGACACUGAGGCACGAAAGCGUGGGGAGCAAACAGG